ACGACUCUCGACAACGGAUAUCUCGGCUCUCGCAUCGAUGAAGAACGCAGCGAAAUGCGAUACUUGGUGUGAAUUGCAGAAUCCCGUAAACCAUCGAGUCUUUGAACGCAAGUUGCGCCCGAAGCCAUUAGGCUGAGGGCACGUCUGCCUGGGUGUCA
rnacentral:rRNA from 1 species